GAUGAAGAACGUAGCGAAAUGCGAUAAGUAAUGUGAAUUGCAGAAUUCAGUGAAUCAUCGAAUCUUUGAACGCACCUUGCGCCCUUUGGCCAUUCCGAAGGGCAUGCCUGUUUGGGUAUCAUGAACACCUCAACUCUCAUGGCUCGCCAUGAUGAGCUUGGAUUUGGGGGUCUUGCUGGCCUGUGGUCGGCUCCUCUCAAAUGGAUCAGCUUGCCAGUGUUUGGUGGCAUCACAGGUGUGAUAACUAUCUGCGCUUGUGGUUUUCCAUCAGAUAACCUUCAGUGAUGGAGGUUCGCUGGAGCUCAUAAACGUCUCCCCUAAGCGGGGACAGCCCUUUGAAUGUUUGAUCUCAAAUCAGGUAGGACUACCCGCUGAACUUAAGCAUAUCAAUAAGCGGAGGA
rnacentral:misc_RNA from 1 species